rnacentral:lncRNA from 1 species
GGCCGUAAGGAGAUGCGAAACCCCACAGCAGAUGUCAGUCCAGGGCUGGAGCUCAGCUCUCAUCUGCAAUGCACCAGAACCCUGACAUCAGGGGAAAUUAGCUGCCAUAUCUUCUGAUCACUAAGUUUUUCUGGCUGCUCUGCCUGGGGAGCAGAGUGUCUUUCCUCCUCCUCUGGGCCCCAGCUGCAAGGUCACGGUG